UUUUACUAAACUAAAUUUAUUAACAAGACAUUUUAUUAAUUUAAAGAGGUUAAAGAAAGAUAGUGAAUGAAAAGCUUAACAAAUAUAAAUAUAUAGAAAAUGCCAAUGCCACCAACUAGAAAGUCGGUGAGAGGAUUAUUUCAUGGUCUACUAAAUCCCAAUUGAAGCAUUCCUUUCAUCGCUUAUAGUUCAUAGGUGCACUUACCGCUCAACAUAAUCUAAACAAAACGAAGCUUUCACAACCCCCAAAAUAAGCAUAAUUAACUUUAUGGUAAAUAAGCAGAAUUAACUUUACCGUGAAACUUUCGCAACCCCCAAAAUAUAUGAGACUCUUGACGGACUUCUGUUCCCUUAGAUCCUCAAUAACCGCAUCACAUCUGAACGAUUCGCAAGUGGAGAGAAGGUAGUGAAGCUGCUAGACACUUGAACUUGAUAUAUUUGUCUAGAUCAAUUUGAUGUGGAAACCCAAUUUCAUCUAUCCAAUGUCCACUUUUGCUUAGGGAUUUAGCUGAUCUCCUAAGAAAUUCCUUCGAGGUGUCUUCCAUGUCCAUCAAACUUGAUUUUUUGUUCAAUAAGAAAGAAUUCAGAUUCCUAUAAACUUGCUGCACAAGUUAAUUCAAACAAAAUAAACCACAUAUUGAGAUCAUAAACUAACUGACAUCCAGGCCCUAAAGCAUCUGCUUUAGGCCACCUAAUGGAAAAUAUAUACUAAACGUUAGGCCACACGUUUGAUAAGUUCACUUUAGUCUCUUGGUUAUGAUGUACCUCCUAGUUGUAAUUAGUUAAAGAGUUCGAAUCUUUGGUAAUACAAUUUUUGUUACUCUUUUUUCCCAUUUUUUUUGUCAGUUCUCGUUUAUUAAGUUUUACUUUAAUUUUUUUUUUUCGUCUUAAGUUU
rnacentral:sRNA from 1 species